rnacentral:rRNA from 1 species
AUACGGAGGAUCCGAGCGUUAUCCGGAUUUAUUGGGUUUAAAGGGAGCGUAGGCGGACGCUUAAGUCAGUUGUGAAAGUUUGCGGCUCAACCGUAAAAUUGCAGUUGAUACUGGGUGUCUUGAGUACAGUAGAGGCAGGCGGAAUUCGUGGUGUAGCGGUGAAAUGCUUAGAUAUCACGAAGAACUCCGAUUGCGAAGGCAGCCUGCUGGACUGUAACUGACGCUGAUGCUCGAAAGUGUGGGUAUCAAACAGGAUUAGAUACCCUGGUAGUCCACACAGUAAACGAUGAAUACUCGCUGUUUGCGAUAUACAGUAAGCGGCCAAGCGAAAGCGUUAAGUAUUCCACCUGGGGAGUACGCCGGCAACGGUGAAACUCAAAUGAAUUGGCGGG